UACGUAGGGUGCGAGCGUUAAUCGGAAUUACUGGGCGUAAAGCGUGCGCAGGCGGUUCGCUAAGACAGGUGUGAAAUCCCCGGGCUUAACCUGGGAAUGGCGCUUGUGACUGGCGGGCUUGAGUACGGCAGAGGGAGGUGGAAUUCCACGUGUAGCAGUGAAAUGCGUAGAGAUGUGGAGGAACACCAAUGGCGAAGGCAGCCUCCUGGGCCAACACUGACACUCAUGCACGAAAGCGUGGGGAGCAAACAGG
rnacentral:rRNA from 1 species